rnacentral:lncRNA from 1 species
GUAGAUGCACACAAUUAAAUAAUGAACCACAUCCACCAACACUCCAGAAAGAGGAAAAAAGAAAAAGAGGAUGCGAUUCCUUAUUUUGCUUGUAUUUUAUGUAGAAAAUUGAAAAUCACAAAGAUCCCAACCCCUCAUUUUCUCUGCGCGAAAUAACAAUAACACAAAUAAUUCAAUAUGUAUGAAAAUUUAAAACUUAUAAUUUAUGGCGAAAUAGUAUCGUAGUCAUUUAAACUUGUAUCAAAUUUUAAAGCUGACAUAUAACUUUUAACUUUCACAUAUUAGCACAUCAACUCAACCAACUGAUUAUUAAUACACCUCUUCAUUAGAGCGCGUCGCUUAAUUGCCUGACAAAAAGAACACAUCAAAUACUAAAGAUCAUUUAUUAGUUUACAUGUGUCAUCUGUGGACCCAUUUCUUAUCAUUAAUUUAUCAAAAUUUCUUUCUUAUUUACUUCCAUUUUCCAUCUACACAUUUUAGCACCACCAUUGUGAGAAAGAUCUCAUCCAUUACUUGACCACAUGCCUCAAUCGGUCAUGAACUUACAUAAAAUCCAUUCAUCUUUCACUUGUAAUGAAAUAAAAAAAACCAUACCCCAAGUCAAAGACAGUCGGUGGGGCACUUGCUAAAAUUUUGUCAAAGCAACAAGAGAACCAGCCAUGCUAUGUCAAAGUAGGACAUAAAUGAUGAAAUCAGAAAGAGAGAAGAAGUCGGCCUCCAUAAAUAAAAUUUUCCAUCCAAAUCAAUAAUUUUUCGAUGAUAUUUCUCUUUUCUCUAUUUGUCUUCUGGUCUGAGAUUGGAUACAAAAAGGAGAGAGGGAGUUAAUGUGAGAGACAUGAGUUAUAUAAAACUUUUAAGAAAAUUCAUUAUUUUUCGUUAUCUCUGCCUGGGUUUGGGACAAAAAGAAGAGAGGGG